GUCUACGGCCAUACCACCCUGAACAUGCCCGAUCUUGUCUGAUCUCAGAAGCUAAGCAGGGUCGGGCCUGUUAGUACUUGGAUGGGAGACCACCUGGGAAUGCCGGGUGCUGUAGGGU
rnacentral:rRNA from 1 species